rnacentral:rRNA from 1 species
CAGCAGCCGCGGGAAUACGUAGGUCCCGAGCGUUGUCCGGAUUUAUUGGGCGUAAAGCGAGCGCAGGCGGUUUGAUAAGUCUGAAGUUAAAGGCUGUGGCUCAACCAUAGUUCGCUUUGGAAACUGUCAAACUUGAGUGCAGAAGGGGAGAGUGGAAUUCCAUGUGUAGCGGUGAAAUGCGUAGAUAUAUGGAGGAACACCGGUGGCGAAAGCGGCUCUCUGGUCUGUAACUGACGCUGAGGCUCGAAAGCAUGGGGAGCGAACAGGAUUAGAUACCCGGGUAGUCCCUGUCUCUUAUACA